GGAGUUUGGUCCGUGUCUCAGUACCAAUGUGGGGGACCUUCCUCUCAGAACCCCUACUGAUCGUCGCCUCGGUGGGCCGUUACCCCGCCGACAAGCUAAUCAGACGCAUCCCCAUCCCACAGCGGUGAACCUUUGCUCCUCAUCAGAUGCCAUCGAAGGAGAACAUAGAGCAUUAAUCCGACUUUCGCCGGGCUAUUCUCUACUGUGGGGAAGGUUGGAUACGCGUUACUCACCCGUGCGCCGGUCGCCGACAGAGUUAGCAAGCUAACUCCUCGCUGCCCCUCGACUUGCAUGUGUUAAGCCUGUAGCUAGCGUUCAUC
rnacentral:rRNA from 1 species